UGUUGUACUCAGAUAAGAGGACUAACAAUUUAAAAUACAAGAUUGGCUCAUUCACACUCUACUUGCUCCACAAACUGAAUGUGAAUAACAUAUUGCCAUCUUGCUGGAUUUCACUGUUUCUUCCUUUUCCUUAUCGCAGAACUAUGGAUGAUGAAUCUUCAGCUUCAGGAGAAGAAGAGCCUUUAACUUCGACCACUACACGACCAACACCGAAAAUGACUACAAGAGUAACCACCUCUCCAACAACACACACAACUAUGGAUGAUGAAUCUUCAGCUUCAGGAGAAGAAGAGCCUUUAACUUUGACCACUACACGACCAACAGUAAGGAGAAAUAGUCAAUCUUUACACUGUCUAUCCUUACUCCUUAACUUCUUUACUCCUUCUUACUGAACUUGAACAGCAUGUGACACUCAUGUUGUUUGUUGGAUCCCAUUCAUGUUGUUGAAUUCCUUUCCUGUGUCUCUGCCCUUUUCCCCUUGGGUUUGCACGUAAUAAAUACCUCCUUGAUCUCAGAUGUAGUUCUGGAAAGUUUGAAAACCACCGAUAUUAUUCUAUUGGCCACUGACUCCUGAUAUGUUUUAAUAAUGUACAUCCUUUAAACUCCAAUUCCUUUCUGCCAACUCUAAUGAAGAUAUCAAAAGGGGCUGUUGCACUUGA
ensembl:lincRNA